UACGGGGGGGGCAAGCGUUGUUCGGAAUUACUGGGCGUAAAGGGCUCGUAGGCGGCCAACUAAGUCAUACGUGAAAUCCCUCGGCUUAACCGGGGAACUGCGUCUGAUACUGGAUGGCUUGAGUUCGGGAGAGGGAUGCGGAAUUCCAGGUGUAGCGGUGAAAUGCGUUGAUAUCAGGAGGAACACCGGUGGCGAAGGCGGGUCUCUGGGCCGAUACUGACGCUGAGGAGCGAAAGCGUGGGGAGCGAACAGG
rnacentral:rRNA from 1 species